GACGAACGCUGGCGGCGUGCUUAACACAUGCAAGUCGAGCGGAAAGGCCCUUCGGGGUACUCGAGCGGCGAACGGGUGAGUAACACGUGAGUAACCUGCCCCAGACUUUGGGAUAACCCUCGGAAACGGGGGCUAAUACCGGAUACGACACAGCUUCGCAUGGGGUCUGUGUGGAAAGUUUUUCGGUUUGGGAUGGGCUCGCGGCCUAUCAGCUUGUUGGUGGGGUGAUGGCCUACCAAGGCGACGACGGGUAGCCGGCCUGAGAGGGCGACCGGCCACACUGGGACUGAGACACGGCCCAGACUCCUACGGGAGGCAACAGUGGGGAAUAUUGCACAAUGGGCGGAAGCCUGAUGCAGCGACGCCGCGUGAGGGAUGACGGCCUUCGGGUUGUAAACCUCUUUCAGCAGGGACGAAGCGUAAGUGACGGUACCUGCAGAAGAAGCGCCGGCCAACUACGUG
rnacentral:rRNA from 1 species